rnacentral:misc_RNA from 1 species
AAGUCGUUCUCCGAAUUGUUCAAACCAUCAUUGGAACUGAGUCCUAGCAAUGAACAGCGUGCAAUGCCCCGACGGGGCAAGUUCGGAGAGGAGCAGCACUCCCUUUAUCAUGUUCGAAGUUUUCUGCGCCUGCACCUUGGCGGUGAGCACAUUCUUUGUCUACCGCUUUCGAAAGCAGGCGGAAAGCCGCGCGCAGCAGCGGUAUGAUAGACUUGAUCGCUAUGAGGUUGGUACCGGCGUUUACAACGUCCCUGCCGGCUGACCUGGUUAGCUUUUUCCCAAGCGACAGCGGCGCCGAUCUUUUUUUUCAACAUGACGUUCUAUCACGAACAAGCCAACAAAUAGACGUGCGCAACCACAGUUCUCCUACCUGGGUUGCCCUACGGCUGAAUCCUCGUCGCCGAGGACGAGCCUUCGAAUCAGGCAAUGCGUCUACGGGGCUUUUCGCGAUCUUCCUCGUUCAUUUCUCGCACAAGUGCUGUGCGAUCAGCGCCAGACGGACUCGGGUGGACUGCAAACCUUGAUCUCAGCAGACCAUGUCCACGGUCAUGCUUAAGGGUGGAGGCCGUUGCGUCUGUUGUGUCCGAUCUUAGUUUGUCGAGAAAAAACACACAUCAAAUUUACUCAAGUACUUGUUCGAAUGCAAAGUGGUUUUGAUCCAAUUGAAAACUUCUCAUGGGCAAGACUUUCAUCGCAACCCUGCGCCGAUUCAAUACAGAGAAAUGAGAGCUUUUUUCCCGCUGCAUAUGCUUGGUGUGUCUUAGCUUCUAUUUUAUGCUGUAUUGACUCUCGUUUAUCGUAUGAAGGAAAAGCUAUUUAGCAGCAGCACAAAUAC